AGAGUUUGAUCCUGGCUCAGGAUGAACGCUGGCGGCGUGCUUAACACAUGCAAGUCGAACGAACCUUCGGGUUAGUGGCGGACGGGUUAGUAACGCGUGAGAAUCUGCCCUCAGGAGGGGGAUAACGGCUGGAAACGGCCGCUAAUACCCCAUAUGCCGAGAGGUGAAAUGAAUUUCGCCUGAGGAUGAGCUCGCGUCUGAUUAGCUAGUUGGUGUGGUAAAGGCUCACCAAGGCAUCGAUCAGUAGCUGGUCUGAGAGGAUGAUCAGCCACACUGGGACUGAGACACGGCCCAGACUCCUACGGGAGGCAGCAGUGGGGAAUUUUCCGCAAUGGGCGCAAGCCUGACGGAGCAACGCCGCGUGAGGGAUGAAGGCCUCUGGGCUGUAAACCUCUUUUAUCAAGGAAGAAGAUCUGACGGUACUUGAUGAAUAAGCCACGGCUAAUUCCGUGCCAGCAGCCGCGGUAAUACGGGAGUGGCAAGCGUUAUCCGGAAUUAUUGGGCGUAAAGCGUCCGCAGGCGGUCUUGAAAGUCUGUUGUUAAAGCGUGGAGCUCAACUCCAUUUCAGCAAUGGAAACUAGAAGACUAGAGUGUGGUAGGGGCAGAGGGAAUUCCCGGUGUAGCGGUGAAAUGCGUAGAUAUCGGGAAGAACACCAGUGGCGAAGGCGCUCUGCUGGGCCAUAACUGACGCUCAUGGACGAAAGCCAGGGGAGCGAAAGGGAUUAGAUACCCCUGUAGUCCUGGCCGUAAACGAUGAACACUAGGUGUCGGGGGAAUCGACCCCCUCGGUGUCGUAGCCAACGCGUUAAGUGUUCCGCCUGGGGAGUACGCACGCAAGUGUGAAACUCAAAGGAAUUGACGGGGGCCCGCACAAGCGGUGGAGUAUGUGGUUUAAUUCGAUGCAACGCGAAGAACCUUACCAGGGUUUGACAUCCUGCGAAUCCCUUGGAAACUUGGGAGUGCCUUCGGGAGCGCAGUGACAGGUGGUGCAUGGCUGUCGUCAGCUCGUGUCGUGAGAUGUUGGGUUAAGUCCCGCAACGAGCGCAACCCACGUCUUUAGUUGCCAGCAUUAAGUUGGGCACUCUAGAGAGACUGCCGGUGAUAAACCGGAGGAAGGUGUGGAUGACGUCAAGUCAUCAUGCCCCUUACAUCCUGGGCUACACACGUACUACAAUGCUACGGACAAAGGGCAGCAAACUCGCGAGAGCUAGCCAAUCCCAUAAACCGUGGCUCAGUUCAGAUCGUAGGCUGCAACUCGCCUACGUGAAGGAGGAAUCGCUAGUAAUCGCAGGUCAGCAUACUGCGGUGAAUACGUUCCCGGGCCUUGUACACACCGCCCGUCACACCAUGGAAGUUGGCCACGCCCGAAGUCGUUACUCCAACCCGCAAGGGAGGAGGAUGCCGAAGGUGGGGCUGAUGACUGGGGUGAAGUCAACAAGGUA
rnacentral:rRNA from 1 species